rnacentral:rRNA from 1 species
GAGUUUUGAUCCUGGCUCAGGAUGAACGCUAGCUACAGGCUUAACACAUGCAAGUCGAGGGGAAACGGAACAUCGAAAGACUUGCUUUUGAUGGGCGUCGACCGGCGCACGGGUGAGUAACGCGUAUCCAACCUGCCCACCACUUGGGGAUAACCUUGCGAAAGUAAGACUAAUACCCAAUGACGUCUCUAGAAGACAUCUGAAAGAGAUUAAAGAUUUAUCGGUGAUGGAUGGGGAUGCGUCUGAUUAGCUUGUUGGCGGGGUAACGGCCCACCAAGGCGACGAUCAGUAGGGGUUCUGAGAGGAAGGUCCCCCACAUUGGAACUGAGACACGGUCCAAACUCCUACGGGAGGCA